UUUUUAAUUUCGCAUUUUUUGCUACAUCCUUAUUUUCGUUUGUUGUUGGUAUUGUUUGUUGGGUAUUUGUUUUUGAUUAUCAUCAAAUCAAAAAUAAAUCGAAAAAUUCCAAAAAUAGUAAGAUCUGUUCAUUAACGUUCUAAAAUAGAAAUUGUAUUUGUUCUUCACUGUUUAAUCGUAUUUGUCUAUCUGUGCUUGAUAUUUUGAGUCCGAAAUUAUUGAAUCUACUGAAAUUGAUUAAUAUCAAUUGGAGAUUGUCUGAUUACUUGGGUUCUAGUUCGAAUUCCACCACUGUAUCUCCAUUGGCAACUUCGAGUUUCUCGGGUUAGCUCAGAUUUAAAUUUCGUUGAGGAUUUGGGUUCAAAAUCGGUUGGAUUUUUGUGAUUCUUGUUGGAAACAUCAACACGAAGCUGAAUCUGAAGGGUCAAUCCGAUUAACACUGAAUUUCUUGGGUUUUGAUUGAAAAUUUCGAUUUCAGUUUCAGAGAGGACGACGAGCCGGAUUCUUCUGAAUUCGUGAUUGUUUCUAGAAAUCAAUCACUGGGGGUUUGAUUUUUAUGCUGUUUGGAAGUUGAAUCCAAAAUUUGAGCUCGUUUUGGUGAAGGUUUGUUCGAUAAUCGGAUUUUCUGGUGUUGAGGCUCGAAGAACUUCGAAGAAAAACUUCAGUUUCUGGGGUUGAGUUUGAAGCUGCGUAGCCUAUGCAUCGUCCCUGCACGUCGACACUUAGCCAAUUCCAGAAGGCAUCAGGUUUGAUUCUUCUAAGUCGAAAGUUAGUUUUAUGUGCUGAAAAUUGUGAAGAAAGUUUGAGUUAUAGCUGAACUUCGACUCGAUCGUUCUGAGUUAAUUGAUUUGAAUGAAUUCGACUAGCGUGCUUAGCUUGAUUUCUGAGUAUUGAGCUGAAAUUUGUUCUCAAUUUGUUGCUGCCGUUUGUGAAUCUCAGCCCUUGAUAGAGUUUCUUAGUUGUUAAACCAUCCUUGUAUCUGCUGAAUUCUGGUUUGAACUCCUUUGUGAUGCUAAAUUUCUGGUCAUUGAGCUGCAUUUCUGUGACUUGCUCUGCUGUUAUUAUAGUAUGAAGUUGAAGCUUGGUUUGUCUGAAAUUGAAAACUGGAACUUCUUCUUGUGCUUGCUGUUUGAGGGUUAAGUUCAGAAUUUUUCUGCUGAAGUUAAUGCUCAAGUGUUGCUGAAGUUUCUGAGUUUUGAGCAGUGUCUUUUUAUAGCAAGAGCUGCACAGUUGAGCAGAAAAAUAUAGGUUUUAGCAGGGGUAAAUAGCUACUGAGUCAGACUCGAUUUGGCAUUAGAUUUCUGAGAUUGUGAACUGCAAAAUUCUACAGAAAAGAACUCAGCUGAACAGUAACUUUUGACAGCCAAAAUCUGCCCUGUUUUAGCACUAUUUGAGCAGGAAAAUCUGCACAGCUUGGGGUGAAACUUCUGCACUGUUUCUGCCCUGUUGAACUGCUGAAAAUCUGCAGUAUUCGAAACAACUUCGGCACUGGUGAGGCUCCAGUUAAGCUGCAAAUUUGCAGCAACUUAUUCAUUUAAGUUCCAGAAGUUCUGCACUUUGGAACAACUUUCUGCACAGUCAAGAUCCUGCAGCAGCUGGGUGUACUUUGAACUAUUUUGGACUGUGAAUUGAUUGAGGGAAUUAGAGUUAGCUGUUCUGAAAGUUUGUGCUCAACUAUGCUUUCCGCAUUACUUGACAGAAAAAUUACUUCAGUUUGGUUUCUGCUGAUUGAAUAAGGUUUUGGUUGAGUUACACCUGGAAAAUUUGUUGAAGCUAAAGGUUCAGAAAGGAUCGGUUGUAUAUCCAGUUCAGGUUUCUGCACAGUUGGUUCACGCAGAAGAUUUCCAACAACCUGCAGUGCUGCCAGUUACUGUGACUAAAGGGAAAAUUUUCAACACAACCAACCUAACCAAUAACCACAGAACUCACCAAGGCAACCACAAUCACCAAAAUGACCUUAUUUCCUCCACCAAACUACUGACCACCUACCCACUUCCAACCUCCAACCACACAUCACCCACCACAAGUACCUCGACUACAACCUGAUCAAAUUCCACACAAGUUUACACUCCGCCACAACAAGUGCCACAACCACAACCCCACCAAGGUUACCUUCCACCACCCUAAGUGUACUACCCACGAGAACACCAACAACCAUUUAGAUUUCAAGCACACAUACCCAUAAUACCACCACCCCAAAUGACCCAACCUAGACCACCAAUGAAUCUACCUCCACAACAUAUGCCUCAAGUUCCACCAAGGAGGGACAAUCUCCCUCCUCCACCACCCGUACUACUUCAAGAGCCUCGGUUGAUGAACAAUCCACUUUUUCAACAUGAUUAAGAUGACACCUUGAAUGAGUUGGCCGACAUCCAACAAUUCUUCAAUGAAGAGUAUAGGGGAGAUGGAGUACCAAAGGGAAAGAGGCCACAUCAGAGGAAGGGGAAGAGGUAGAGGUCGAGUGAGAGGAAGAGGUAGAGGGAAUGGUCACCGUUUGUACCAGAGCAAUAUGGGGAUAUCAACUACUUUGAAGAGGGUGACCCGCUAGAGGACCAACCUUUUCCUAGAAGAUGAUGAAAGGGGUCUAAAAGUUGCCAAACAAGUUCUUCCACCUUUCAAGGAAACUAGUGACUCGGGAGAGUAUCUUGAAUGGUUACUCAAAGUAGAAAGGCACUUUGACAUCUACAACGUAAGUGAUGCUAAAAAGGUGAAGUAUGCCAUUACUCAAUUUGAAGAGAGUGCUUCAUCAUGGUGGGAAAAGGAGUUGAGGAGAAGGGCUAGACACAAUGAACCUCCAAUAACUACUUGGAGAGAUUUGAAGAAUGCUUUGAGGGUAAGAUAUGUGCCCGAUUACUAUCAACAUGCUCAAGAAACUUCAUACUUCCUACCAAGGGAACAAGAGUGUUGAGGAGUACUAUGAAGAGAUGGAGACUACAAGAUUGAGGUGUGAUGUUGAUGAUGAUGACCAAGUUGUCAUUACUAGAUUCUUGGCAGGUCUUCACAAGGAAAUUGGUGAGGCUUUGGAGCUUCACAAGUUUGAAAGAUUGGAAGAUGCUUACUUGAUGGCCUUGAAGGUAGAAAGGCGCAAGGAAACAAAAGCUACAAGUCAAAGGCUACUAGUUCUUCUCCUUGGAACAUGAAUGAUAAGCCUUGGAAAUCAACAAACAUUUGGGAGAAGUCCAAAGAUUCCAAUUACGACUUCAAGGUUCAAGUUGACAAAAGCAAGCUAAGAGUGGAGACUAAGGGACUUCCAAUGUUCAAAACAAGUCCCUUAGCAAUGUAAGAUGCCAUAAAUGUCAAGGACUUGGUCAUUACAUGAAAGAUUGUAUGAAUAGAAGAACUAUCAUUGCCAUGGAUGAUGGAAGCUAUAGAACCAAAGCUAGUCACCAAGAGCAUGGAGAUAGUGAACACGAAACAAGUGAUGAAGAAUCAGAAGAGCAAGAAAAUAAUGGUCUGAGAUCUUAAUUGUUAACAAGAAAAGUUUUAGUCAUAGCUAGAGAACCUCACGAUCAAAGGGAGAAUCUUUUUCAUAGAAGAUGCAAGAUUUUGGAAAACCUUUGCUCUCUCGUCAUUGAUAGUGGAAAUUGUGCUAAUGUAGUAAGUUCCUUAUUGCUUGAAAUGGAUUUGCCGACCAAAAAGCAUCCUUCACCUUAUAGACUCCAAUGGCUACAUGAGUGUGGAGACCUUAGAGUCACUAAAAUGGUGUUCAUAAAAUUCAAAAUUGGGAGAUUUGAAGAUGAGUUUUGGUGUGAUGUUGUUCCUAUGCAAGCUUGGCAUCUACUUUUUGGGCGACCUUGGCAAUAGGAUUGGUAUGCAAAGCAUGAUCGGAGAACAAACAAGUAUUCCCUUAUCAAGGAUGGCCAAAAGUUUACUCUUUGUCCCUUAACCCUAUUUCAAGUGAGUGAGGAUUACAAAAUAGUGAAGGAUAUGAGGCCAAAGAUGAAGAGUGAACACAAGAUACAGAGAAGUGAGGUUGAGAAAAGUGACAACUCUAGAGUGGAAAAAGGAGAGGAAGUGUGCAGUGAAAAGAGUAAGUUGUCACAAGAAAAGACUGAAGAGUUUGAAAAGAAAAUGAGAGAAAAGAAAGAGGGAAAACAAAAAGAGAGUGGUGAUUUUUCUUCUUCUAAUGCUACUAACCUUUCUUCUUUCUCUAGUUGUUUUGGAACUUGUGUAGAGACUUUUGGAGACGAACCAUCAAGUGAAGUUCAAUCCACUUUGAAGAGAUUGGAAGAAAAUUAAUCUACCUUUUCAAGAGGACUUAUGGAAUUAAAUAAGGAAGUGCAAGGUGGUUCCACAGCAGGCGGCACUGAUCAGUGAUAGCGGCACACUCUCUUCCUAGCUUACUUGGUGAGCCCCACCUCAUUUCGGGGUCGUUUAUCUUUUGUUCCUCGUGUAAUUGUGUUUUGCAGUAUAGCUGGGGCCUUAUUGCCGGCACUAUCAUAGUACUCUUUUGUAUCUAUUAUAGGCUCCAUAGACAUAGUCUGGGUUGUACAUUGGUGUUGGGAAAGUCAAACUAGUUAUGUUGUGUUUGAAUCACUUGUUCCACUUUAAACUAUGAAAGUAUUUGUAAUUUGAGACUUUAAAAUGAAGUAACUGAUGAUAGUGAAUUGGUGUUAUAUA